UCAAGUAAUCCAGUCAUGAGAAAAACCAUGUAAAUGUGACACAUGUGGGAAAGGUUUUGGUCAAAAUGCACAACUUACAAAGCAUUGGAGAAUUCAUAGUGAGGAGAAACCCUUCAAAUUAAAGAGUGUUGAAAAGCGUUACCUCACAUCUCAACCGUCACUACGCCUCAGGGAGUAGAUACACAGGGGAAACCAUAUCAAUAUGAUAUAUGUGGGAAGGUCAUGAUUCAAAAUUGACACUUUAAAUUCACAGGCGAUUCAUUGUGGGGAGAAACUAUGGAUGUGCUAUGAAUGUGGAAAAGCCUCACUUACUGUCAGAUAACCAUACUAGACAGAAAUCAGAGAGAUGUAAUGAAUGUCUCAGUGUCGUCAGUCAAAAUUCAUACCUCAGAGUCAACCAGCAGUAUUGUAAAUAAACUAUGCUUCAAUUAAAAAAGAUCCUCCAUGAAUUCCUACUAGAGAGGACAGUUGCUAAUAUAAUGUGUGCAGCAAGUCCUUCAUUGUAGUUUGAAGCCUAACUUAGAGCCAGAGAAUCCCUAUUGGUGAGGAACAUUAAGUAAGGGCUUUAGCAGGUGUGCACAUCUUAAGCUUCAUUGGAACAGCCGUCCUGGAGGGCAAUCAGAUACAUGGGUUUAGUGUGACCAGACCUGUAGACAGGAGAUUCAUUCAGCAGAGAAGGCAUUCUGGAGAUCACAGAGGCCCUGAAUGGGAAAAGUCCUUACUUGGGUUUCACCUCUCAGCAGUCACCAGGUAGUCCAUACUGGACACAACGUUAGAGAUGUUCUGAGUGUAGCAAAGCUUUGGGGUCAUGCCUUAGAGCAGGGGCUUCACCAAACACAUCUUACUUAAAAAUGCAAUGGAAAUAGCAGUUUCAUAAUACUCCUCACUCAUCACUAGAGAUUAGAAUAUUUAUCCUGGAGAGACCACACAAGAGUGUGGUAAGAAAUUCAAUCAAAGAUUACAAGUUGGUCGACUUACUGGCAUGAUACCUUACAAAUGUAAUGGUGUGGCUAAGCCUUUAGUUUGAGUUCCGUUUCUUAGGCAACAGGAGGAAGUCCAUGUUGAAGAACAGCCAUGGUAACGUAUGGUAGAAAAUGUAUGCAGUCUCACAGUCCACUAGACUUAAGAAUAUACAGUUUGGAGGGAGACCUCACUAAGCAGUAUGUGUGCUAAGGCUUGUAUCUGAAGAUCAACUAUGUGGAACACAAAGAAUUUCAGUUGAAGAACAAGCUUUCAAACACAACGAAUGUUGUAACGUUUUUCAUCAUGUCCCAACCGCUUUGGUAUAAUGAGAAAAUCCUUACAGGUCAGAAAGUACACAGGUACACUGAGCAUGGAAACACUUUUAAGAAACUGCCCUUAGGUUUCACCGAAGAACUCCUGUUCGGGGAAUCCAUCCUUACAAAUGUCAUGAAUCUUGUGAAUUUUUUGAGCAAUAAUUAAAACACAGCACCCGUCAGAGAAUGCAAACUAGGAAUAAAUAAGUGUUUAGUUCUCUGAAAUGCAGCAAACUGCAGAAUCAUAACAAGUCACAACAGGGUAAAACUGAUGACAUGAUGUGUGUAUAAGAGGCAGAAGGACAUGUGGAAAUGACCCAUUAUCUUCCAUGUCUAAACAGUAUUUCAGUUUCCUAGAAAGAAGUGCAUUACUUUUCAUGCCUCUCAACCUGAAGUUUAAAGUCUCUUGAUUCCUACAUUAUAGGCCUUUGAUUUUUCUCCCUGGGAAGGAAUCAGUAAGAUGAAGGGGCAAACUUCAUCAGGCACGGCAACUCACGUCCAAGUUCCCAGGAAAAACAGCACUCUGAAUUAUCAGAUUCAAUAUUGUGUGGAUUAGCAUCAGGGAGGGUCGGAGACUAAUGUAAAACUGACUUGACUCAGCAGACGCGUGUUCAGGGUGCCCUUCUGUAGACAGACCACAGGGGGCUACAGCGCAGAAAGCUCCCCCCCACCCCCGGCCCAUGAGCAGAGCAGCAGGGCGUCCAGGGACUGGCUCUUUCACAGGAGGAGCGUGGCCGGUUAUGUGGUGGGAACAAGGCUCGGGGAAAGCUGGUCACGUUCUCCAUCGUUUGGGAGUAGGUGGUGUAGAUAUGUAUGUUUAGUGGAAAGUUCCUCUUACUUUUGGAAUUUGAGGGGAGAGCAAUUACCAUGAGAGGAAAAGUUAAUCAGAAGAGUCUGAGUGGCAGAGCAGUUUAUUUCAGACUCCGAAUAAUGUGCAAAAAUUGAAGAGAGUACAUUUAAAGAUCUAGUUGGUUUUAUUGCAUGAUUUGUGAAUUUAGCUGCACCCCAUCUUCUACAUAAAGAGGUGCUCCAAGGAGCUGUAUGCUAUGGGAAGCCUUUUCAGGCAUAAACUGGGUGGGGUAGAAAGUUAUUGGUAAAGAGAAAGGUUCUCUCAGGCAAGGCUACUUUGUUUAAGGGAAGGACAGAAGUCUUACCUUGUAGGUUACCUCUGGCGUUCAGGACACUUGACAGUGGUUGGUUUACUGUCGCGUUUCUUCAAGGGGUGAAACUACAAUUAAUUAAGUCUUGCUUUGCUGUCUUGUGGGUGACUCCACCUUGGGACUAUUUUCGUUUGUUUCUUAAACACUCCCUAAAAGCUGCUCCUUAGUCCUGAAUAUUCAGCAUAUGAAUAUUUCUUCCUAUUCAGUAUAUGAAUAUAUUUCUCCUGGGGUUUUUUUGUCCAGCCAAAUCAGUGUCAUGACUUCCACCUUCAUUUACUUGCAGGGAAAAUAGGAAUGUAGUAAGCAUAUGAAAAAUAGUAGAAAUUUAAAAAAUUCUACAAGUUCACUUUUGCUCUUGGCCAACUCAGUACAAUAAUUAGAAAAGAACAAUAUUCCUCAGGUUUCUGUAAAAAUGAACCUUGUACAGUGGGAACAUGUUUGUUUGAUAGAUAAACUAGGAAUUUCGUAUAUUGUGCAAAAAUAUUCUUUGUUGUUGCUGAUUUGCUUUUGUGGCCAUUCACUGGGCUAGGACGGACCUCCAGCCAAAAGUUGGUUUGGUCAUUCAGAGUGAUAUUAACAUUCAAGUGUUAUGAGAAUGUUCUAUAAUUCAGAUUUCUCAGGGGACAGGGAAGAGUUUCUAGUUGUUAUAAAAAUGAUAUGAAGAAACAAGGAAUGGUGAGUUGCUUGGUGUGUUAAUGUGAUUGCUAGGUGGGGGCUUAGGGGAGCAUACCCACUUAGGGUUUGAAGUUCCAGUUGGUUAAAGUUGCUCCAAAGAGGAAGCCCUCAGAUUGUUUUGUCACCUUCAUCACUCAGGCCAAGCAGGAAGAGGUUGCAGUGAGGUGUAAUCCUUCUAAGCAGAGAAACAUCCCAUUGUUCAAUACAGUUGUUUCAAAUGCUUGAGAAAAAUCUUCCUUAGAUGCAUCAUGUAAGACUUUUACACUAGGUUGCUAAGAAUUGGUGUCUGGGCAUGUUUUGUAGAUAAUAUAACUAAGCAGUGUACUAGAGGAGCAAUUAUCAAAAGUCUGUUAAAGUUUGAAUUUCAAAUUAGUGGAUCAGACGAUAUGUUACGUGGUUAAUUUUCUAUUGCAAUAAAAUAUGUUUGUAAAAUU